rnacentral:tRNA from 1 species
GGGAGGGUAGUCUAGAUUGGUAAGAUGGUCUGAAAUUCAGACGUCCCAGACUGAUUCUUGGCUGGGGGCCAAGAGGUCGCGGGUUCAAAUCCCGUCUCUCCCA